GAUGAACGCUAGCUACAGGCUUAACACAUGCAAGUCGAGGGGAAACGAUAUUGGAAGCUUGCUUCCGAUAGGCGUCGACCGGCGCACGGGUGAGUAACGCGUAUCCAACCUGCCCAUCACUUGGGAAUAACCUUGCGAAAGUAAGACUAAUGCCCAAUGACAUUUAUAGAAGGCAUCUGAAAUGAAUUAAAGAUUUAUCGGUGAUGGAGUGGGGAUGCGUCUGUAUUAGCUUGGUUGGGACGGGGUAACCGGCCCACCGAAGGCGACGAUCAGGUAGGGUUCUGAGAGGAACGGCCCCCCA
rnacentral:rRNA from 1 species